GAUGAAGAACGUAGCGAAAUGCGAUAAGUAGUGUGAAUUGCAGAAUUCAGUGAAUCAUCGAAUCUUUGAACGCUCAUUGCGGCCCUUGGUAUUCCAUGGGGCAUGCCUGUUCGAGCGUCAUUUGUACCUUCAAGCUCUGCUUGGUGUUGGGUGUUUGUCUCGCCUCUGCGUGUAGACUCGCCUUAAAACAAUUGGCAGCCGGCGUAUUGAUUUCGGAGCGCAGUACAUCUCGCGCUUUGCACUCAUAACGACGACGUCCAAAAGUACAUUUUUACACUCUUGACCUCGGAUCAGGUAGGGAUACCCGCUGAACUUAAGCAUAUCAAUAAGCGGAGGA
rnacentral:misc_RNA from 1 species